rnacentral:lncRNA from 1 species
CUAUAUUUAUUUCACUUGACUGGGCGGGGUUUAACGGAUUCGCUCACAAUAAACCAGUCCAUUUAUAGUUAGGUGUUUUAGGAUAAACUCAUCAAUGAAGUGUCCAGUCAUUGUUUUGUAAAUUCUUUUGAUGACACUGAUAGGUGAUUAGAAAUCAGUAAUAAUUAUAACGGCAAUCAUCCUUAUCACACACAUCUUCAAAUAGACUGUCCUUAUGCAAAUUAAAACAUAAGCUCCGCCCGA